rnacentral:misc_RNA from 1 species
UCCGAGUUGACCCCGGCAGUCUCCUACGAGUCCCCUGCAUUACCCGCUGGCAACAUAGAAUAAGGGUUGCGCUCGUUGCGGGACUUAACCCAACAUCUCACGACACGAGCUGACGACGGCCAUGCACCACCUGGGUUACCCCUCAGUACCACGUGCAUGUCAAGCCGAGGUAAGGUUCUGCGCGUUGCAUCGAAUUAAACCACACGCUCCGCUGCUUGUGCGGGCCCCCGUCAAUUCCUUUGAGUUUUAGCCUUGCGGCCGUAGUCCCCAGGCGGCGGACUUAAUGCGUUAGCUGCGGCGCCGAGGGGGUCGAUACCCCCGACACCUAGUCCGCAUCGUUUACGGCGUGGACUAC